CUUAGUUUUCGUUGAAUGUUUAACAGUAAAACAAAAUGUGAAGUGCAAGUGAAGUGUUACAACAAUUGCAACAAACAAAACUUAUAUCACCAAUAAGACGUUAUCACCUAAAUUGGCAUUCAGCCGCCCUAGACUGUUUAUCUCGCGGCUUACAACUGGCUACAAUCACUUCCUACGAAGAACAAACUGAUCUUGAAGACGUGCUUAAAAGAUCAAAUGUGGGUAAUAACUGGUUGUGGACUUCGGGCACUGAUCAAGGUGAAGAAGGGAA